AGAGUUUGAUCCUGGCUCAGAUUGAACGCUGGCGGCAGGCCUAACACAUGCAAGUCGAGCGGCAGCGGGAAAGUAGCUUGCUACUUUUGCCGGCGAGCGGCGGACGGGUGAGUAAUGCCUGGGGAUCUGCCCAGUCGAGGGGGAUAACAGUUGGAAACGACUGCUAAUACCGCAUACGCCCUACGGGGGAAAGCAGGGGACCUUCGGGCCUUGCGCGAUUGGAUGAACCCAGGUGGGAUUAGCUAGUUGGUGAGGUAAUGGCUCACCAAGGCGACGAUCCCUAGCUGGUCUGAGAGGAUUAUCCCCCACACUGGUACUGAGACACGGACCAGACUCCUACGGGAGGCAGCAGUAAGGAAUAUUGGGCAAUGGACGCAAGUCUGACCCAGCCAUGCCGCGUGAAGGAUGAAGGCCCUAUGGGUUGUAAACUUCUUUUAUACGGGAAAAAACCUUCGGUCGUGAACCGGAGCUGAUGGUACCGUAAGAAUAAGCAUCGGCUAACUCCGUGCCAGCAGCCGCGGUAAUACGGAGGAUGCAAGCGUUAUCCGGAUUCAUUGGGUUUAAAGGGUGCGCAGGCGGAGUGAUAAGUCAGUGGUGAAAUCCUACGGCUCAACUGUAGAACUGCCAUUGAUACUGUCAUUCUUGAGUACUGUUGAGGUGGGCGGAAUGUGUCAUGUAGCGGUGAAAUGCUUAGAUAUGACACAGAACACCGAUCGCGAAGGCAGCUCACCAAGCAGAAACUGACGCUCAUGCACGAAAGUGUGGGGAUCAAACAGGAUUAGAUACCCUGGUAGUCC
rnacentral:rRNA from 1 species